GCUGAUGGCCUCCAUCAUUUAUGGGUAAGACCUAAACAAUAUUUGCAGUCGAUGGUCAAACAAAGAAAAAAACUUGUGUCCAUGAUCUUUAGGACCAAAUGUUGGUCAUAGAGAUCCAACAUUUGGUUCUUUAUGGCCAAAUGUUGAGCUUUCAUCGAAUGUCGACCAGAACCAGGAAAUGGACAUUCCCAUCACAGAUGCCUGGCCCUAAACAAACAUACAAAUUAAUUCUGGCCCACCUAGCAUAGUUUCUCUGC